UGUAAACACUCGCGUCUCGCACGUCAAGUAUAUACUUACAUCAGUAUGUACUAUAGGUAAUCUCACCUAACUGCUAAGUAGGUACUUAUUUACUGUGCGCAAGAUUUCAUCGGCAGUUUUUGUUUUACGAGACGCCGGUAUAUAAGUACUUACUUAUGUCGUGUGUUUUUUGUAACAAAAGCGAAACUAAUAGUAGAAAUACAUACAUUGUUUAUCGUCCUUCAAAUUGAUAAAUUAAUGGCGGUUUGUCAAGCUAUUUUAGCAUAAAAUUGGGCAGAUAUUUCAUAUGAUUCUGUACAAGUAAAUUUGCAGUUGUGAAUUUUUUAUCUAAUUCUAAACCAGCAAUGAAUGUUGAGCGGCAGAUGACUAUAAACAACUUAAACUCUAGGUAGGCAAGACUGUUUAUGUAUGAUACAAAAUUUCGAUGAGUAAAGCAUGAAUCUCUAUCUACUGAAGCUUUAAAAGAUGCCAAAAAGUAUUAUCGCGAUUUAAAGCACACUGCUAAGCUACAUACUCACCUAUGGAACAAUUAUUCAUCCAGUAUAUCAAAUGCACCAGAGGGUACUGAAGAACUGACCCUUGGAUUCGAAGGCAGGUCUUCCUUCUUCUAUCACAUAGGCAAGUACCAAGAAUGUCUUCAUGAUGUUGAGAGAGCACUGGUUAUCACAAAAUCCAACUUUCUAAAAGUCAAGUUAUUGUAUCGCAAAGCUGAAUGUUUGACAUAUUUGGGUAGUUCUGAAAACAAGAAUGCCCUGGAAAAGGCAAAGUUUUGGCUCAAGAAAAUUGAUGAAAAGAAAGUCAAAGCUGAACUGACCUCUCAAUUCUUCAUAACGGAAGACAUUAUAAAAAAUAUUAUGCAAAGUGGAAAAUCCAUUGUUAAAAAGGCUGAGAAAAAUACUAGAAUUUGGGAUGCGCUGGAAUUGAAAGAAGCUGAAAAUACUUGUAAUUUCAGUCAAGUAUAAUGAAAAGGAUAGAAGGCACCUGGUUGCAACUCGUAAUAUUAAGCCAGGCGAAAUAAUAUGUGUUCAAAAACCUUAUGUUAUGACUUCCAACACUGAGCUUACACCUUAUGCCUACUGCUGUCAUUGCUUGAAGGUCUCCUGGUCCUCUAUACCUUGUAAUGUAUAUGGAUGGGCUUUCUUUUGUUCAGAUAAAUGCAAAGAAGAAGCUUGGGAGCAAUACCAUUAUAUGGAAUGUUCUGUGAUGCCCAUAAUUCGUCAUACUGCAGAAUCCCAGCUUUGGCGACAACUUGCAAUAAGAACUGUAAUUCUUGCUGUAAGAGAGGCUGGUAGCAUUACAUAAACUUAGAGCAGAGCUUGCUGAAGUAGAUAAUUGUACAGAUGAACAAACCAGAGGUUUUUCCAAAAAUGGAAAAUUCAAAAGUUUAUACAGCUUGGCACAUAAAAUGUCGCCAAAUCUUGCAAAAAUACAUAUUCAAGAUGCUAUUCGAAUUUUGCUUUCUUUUGCCAAGAAUAGUACAUUGUUUAGAAAUGGAAAAAAGUUCAAAGUUGUAGCAGAUUUCCAAAAUGACACAGACGUUCUGUUUGUGGGUUCCCUCAUUUUGAGGCUUUUUGGUAUUUUCAGUGUUAACUAUCAAGAAGUAAGUUGAAAAAAUAAAUGUUUUGACAUUUGUUGCUGCUACAGAGGAACUACAGUGUCGCCACUUUUAUAUUUGAUGAAUCACAGUUGUGACCCAAAUGCAGCUAUAAUGUUAACAGAUGCUGGCAAGAUGAUUGUUUACUCUCUCAAGCCUAUAAAAAAAAAAUGCUCAGAUAACGAGACAAAAUUUUAUAAUAUAAACGUGUACAAUUCUUGUUUUAAAUUGCAAAACAAAAAUUUCACCUAAAUUUGUUUCUAUAAAUUUCAUUUUGAUACUCUAUUCUUAUGGUGAAUGGUACAUAUUAUCAAAGAAGUAGAAAAUAUAGACAAACCAUGACAAAGAAAGCUUACAAUUUCACGUGCACUUGCCAAGCUUGUCAAGAUGAUUGGCCAUUGCUAAUCACACUCAACCCAAAAACUGAUUUAGCUAUAUCAAAUAUCAGUAAUUCUGAUUAAUCUUCUAAAUUAACACCAGAAAUUUUUCAACAAAUCCAAGAUUUAAUAACAUUAACAAAACAAAAAAAAACGAUUUGACAAGCAAACUGUGUAUUUUAUUUAAUUUAGGUAACAUUAUAAAAAUUGCUACUGCUAAUUAU